UUGGAAGAGAGCGGCGGACGGGUGAGUAACGCGUGGGUAACCUGCCCCUGUAACACACGGGUAACAUACCGAAAGGUAUGCUAAUACGGGAUAACAUACUUUUAUCGCAUGGUAGAAGUAUCAAAGCUCCGGCGGUACAGGAUGGACCCGCGUCUGAUUAGCUAGUUGGUAAGGUAACGGCUUACCAAGGCGACGAUCAGUAGCCGACCUGAGAGGGUGAUCGGCCACAUUGGAACUGAGACACGGUCCAAACUCCUACGGGAGGCAGCAGUGGGGAAUAUUGCACAAUGGGCGAAAGCCUGAUGCCAGCAACGCCGCGUGAGCGAUGAAGGCCUUCGGGUCGUAAAGCUCUCGUCCUCAAGGAAGAUAAUGACGGUACUUGAGGAGGAAGCCCCGGCUAACUACGUGCCAGCCGCGGC
rnacentral:rRNA from 1 species